CAACCGUUUGUGGGUGAACAUUGGCGAAAGAGUUGAUCAAGACAAUGUCGUAGAGGAGUUGACCAACAUACUAAAAGAUGCAGUGUCUCUGAAAAUUCAAGUUAGAGAAUUGCCUCUUGUUGAGCUUGAGCUGAAGAAGGCUUGUUGCAGGGCAAAGGCUCUACAGGCCCGUUAAGAUUAAAGGACCUUGAACUUCCUUCAGCAACUAUUGAUUGAAGCUGUCGGACUACAGAUUGAAGGCGAAAACUUGUUUGUCUAUAUUUCUGGGCUUGUUGAUGCUGCUACACGUUAGGAAGAAAGAGCAGUGCAGAUUCUAGCUCUGGAGGCUCAGCUGCCUGAAUAUGAGGAAGUUCUGAGGAGUUCGGAGGACAUUCAUGUGAUCUUGCCUUCUUUACCUCAUAUCAUCUCGACAAUUACAAUGUCUAAGUCUUGGUUGAAGAAUUCGGAACCAUUUUUGGGGUCUGCUCACAUGAACAGGGGAUCACCAAGUUUGUUGCUUGAAGUCGAUAAAUUGAAGUGGAGGAUACAGGGAUAGGUAUUCCUCCAGAGGCGCAAUCCCGUGUUUUCACUCCUUUCAUGCAAGUGCGCCCAUCAAUUUUUCGAACACAUGGGGGCACAGGUAUUGGGCUAAGCAUAAGCAAAUGUCUGGUUGGCCUCAUGAAUGGGGAGAUUGAUUUGUAAGCAUACCCCAGGUGGGAUCCACGUUUACCUUUACUGCAGUUUUCAAUGAUGCCUGUUCUACCUCAAAAGAGUGCAAGGGCCAGCAAGUGAAAGGACAAGGUGACUCUGGCACCUCAGAAUUUCAUGGUAUGAAAGCAGUGGUAGUUGACACAAGACCUGUCCGUGCCAAUGUAUGAAAGUAUCAUAUCCAGAGGCUUGGUAUUCAUGUUGAGGUAGUUGCAGACUUGAACCAGUGCUUCCACACCAUACAAAGUGGGAAUUGCAGAAUAGAUAUGGUGCUCUUGGAAUGGGAAAUUUGGGACAAGGACUCUGGUUUGUCAGCAAUCUUUCUGGAUAAAUUGAGGGACAUGAAGCCACGGGUGUCUCCACGGUUGUUUCUUCUAUCUAAUUCUAUCAGCUCUAGUGGGAUGAGUGGUGCGACUACAGAUGCUACUGGUCCAUCUGUGAUCAUGAAGCCUCUAAGGGCUAGUAUGCUGGUGGUGUCUUUACAGCGCGUCAUGGGAGCUGGAAACCGAAUAAGUUGCUCCAAUGGGGAGUCUCCGAGUCUGUCUCUCCGCAACCUUCUCUGUGGCAGAAAAAUCCUAGUCGUGGAUGACAACAAAGUAAAUCUCAGAGUGGCCGAGGGAGCUUUGAGGAAAUAUGGAGCUGAUGUGGUUUGUACGGACAGUGGGGAAAAAGCAAUUGCUUUGCUCAGACCACUGCAUGAUUUUGAUGCCUGCUUCAUGGAUAUCCGGAUGCCAGGAAUGGAUGGGUGGUGAUAAUGGAUACGUGCAUCUAAUGGUUCUAUAAUUCCUUUGAUCAUAUUUGAAGCUACAAAAAGAAUGACAGAUGGAACAAAGUCCGAGCAAGGAAUUCCUACCGGGACAGUCAUCCUCAGAGCCACGUGAAAAUAUCUCGAAUUUCCACCUACUGAUCUUGGCCAUGACUGCAGAUGUGAUUCACGCUACUCAUGAAGAAUGCACAAAGUAUGGAAUGGAUGGAUAUGUUUCAAAGCCCUUUGAAGCGGAACAACUUUUUAGAGAAGUUUCGCUCCUUUUCCUGGUCAUCACUGAAUCGAAACUUGUAGAGAGGCCACCAUAGAUGGCUAAUUGUUUUGGUGGGCAGAAGUCUUGGUUGUUUAGGCACUUUGGCAGCCUUACCGGUGAACUUUCGAAUUCUUUAACAAGAGUGUCUUGUCACGGGAGCAUAUACAUAAAGAAGCUAAGGUCACCUGCUGGAGUUGAAUUUUCAUUGAUUUCCCUAAGAGUGGCAUAUUGGUUUAAAACCACUUCAAGUAUUUUUUUGUAUAACUGAUCUGAACCGUUUGCAAGAUGACAGUUGGUAAUUAGGUGAUCUGAAGUUCGCCAAUUGAACUCCGGAUCGAUGGCUGCUUGGAAAUGGUGCAGGAAUCUCUUCGACAUAGGUGCAUAUCUGUAGACUAGACCCUAAUAGUGUGUACAUGUGUCACGGGUCGAAAGUGAGCCCAUCCCAGAGGUUCUUGGAGGACGAUCGCGACUCACCCUUGGAUCUCCUACUUCCACUCGGAUUCCCACCAAGUCUUCUCCCCGAAGUUUCUAAGGGCAAGCGACACCGUCAUUACGCUUGAUUCUAAAAGUCUCUUCUGUUAUUUAUGUUGGAAGACGGUAGUUAGCAUUUAUGUCAGUAGUUGAUGGCUAUCAUUUAUGUCGGUGGUGAGUAGCCGCCAUUAGUGUUGGUAGUUGAGGCGGUAUGAUCUCGUUUACUAGAUCAAAUCUAUAUCAAUGGAUGUAAUUAGAGGACCUCAAGUAUAAGAAUGGUGCAUUUUCCCUCA